GGUCCUGACUAAGCCAUACGAGUCCAUGGGGCGCGUUUGUGCGCACCCGGCGGAACGGGUCAGUAACACGUCGGUAACCUACCCUCGGGAGGGGGAUAACCCCGGGAAACUGGGGCUAAUCCCCCCAUAGGCCCUGGGGUACUGGAAGGUCCCCAGGCCGAAAGGGGCUCUGCCCGCCCGAGGAUGGGCCGGCGGCCGAUUAGGUAGUUGGUGGGGUAACGGCCCACCAAGCCGAAGAUCGGUACGGGCCAUGAGAGUGGGAGCCCGGAGAUGGACGCUGAGACACGGGUCCAGGCCCUACGGGGCGCAGCAGGCGCGAAACCUCCGCAAUGCGGGCAACCGCGACGGGGGGACCCCCAGUGCCGUGGCACAGCCACGGCUUUUCCGGAGUGUAAAAAGCUCCGGGAAUAAGGGCUGGGCAAGGCCGGUGGCAGCCGCCGCGGUAAUACCGGCGGCCCAAGUGGUGGCCGCUAUUAUUGGGCCUAAAGCGUCCGUAGCCGGGCCCGUAAGUCCCUGGCGAAAUCCCACGGCUCAACCGUGGGGCUUGCUGGGGAUACUGCGGGCCUUGGGACCGGGAGAGGCCGGGGGUACCCCUGGGGUAGGGGUGAAAUCCUAUAAUCCCAGGGGGACCGCCAGUGGCGAAGGCGCCCGGCUGGAACGGGUCCGACGGUGAGGGACGAAGGCCAGGGGAGCGAACCGGAUUAGAUACCCGGGUAGUCCUGGCUGUAAAGGAUGCGGGCUAGGUGUCGGGCGAGCUUCGAGCUCGCCCGGUGCCGGAGGGAAGCCGUUAAGCCCGCCGCCUGGGGAGUACGGCCGCAAGGCUGAAACUUAAAGGAAUUGGCGGGGGAGCAC
rnacentral:rRNA from 1 species